CACUAAACAUCAAGCAUUCAACCCUUUCCAGACUUUAAGAACGCUUCUCUGGGUUUGUUCUCUAGAUAAGUUCUCCAAAGACACAUUUGUUACAUACUGACCUGGCAUUCCUUGAUUCCUAUCUUGUCACUAUUUUCACAUUCAUGCUCUAAAUGUACAAAGCCCUCAUCUCUUUCAUUAUUGCUGAACCUUCCCCUGAACCACUAGAGCCUGCUCUAACAAUGCAAUGUUAAAUUUCAACAUUUACAGAAUUAGUUCUGAGUUGAUAUAACUGAGGAUGUCUCCUCUUUGUCCCAGUCUGUAAACAGGGAAGUGAGAAAAACAUGACAUGGUUGUGGUUAAACUCUUUCUUUUAAAUUCACUUCUCUAAAUCCUCAAAAUGGAAAAAAUGUUCCUGCUGAGAAUAAAUCUCUGGGUAUGUUUCCAUUUAUUGGGCUCAACAGUCAAAGUUCAUGGAAAUCACCCUGACAGCACUAAGCCAUGAAAAGGGUCUGUUUACACCAUAAAUGACCCUGUACGUCUGCACUGAGAGUUAACCCAUACCAAGGCAGACAUGCUUUACCACUUACACCUGUCGUGGAGCUUAAGAGACUAUCCACUAAAUGGAUCUUCAACCUGCCCUUAUGUGUCCAGUCUGUCAAUGAGGACGGCUUAUGUCAAACGCUUGGUUUUAAUCCAACAGGACAAAACAUGAGCUUCCUUCAGAAAGGAAGAAUGGAAAAAAAGGAAAGGAAGGAAAGAUGGAGGAAAAUGACAGUGUAGUCUGUAUGAAUGUGUGCAUGCGUGUGUGUGGGUGUGUCUGCAUUGCGGGUUAACUUGUUUUUCCAAACUCCUUUAAACUACAUUACAUUUCUAGGGGGAGGGACUAGAAGGAGACUGUGUUGUUUUGAUUGCUAAACAGGUUUUGAGAGACACAGGGUGUGAGGCAUUCAGGGCCAACAGGAAAAACAUAUGUGCAGUGUGAGUAAAGGCGCAGUGUAUUUUCAUAAUCUUACAGACUCCUGCUUUAAGCUUCUUAAUAGGAAGGCCCUGUGUCUUCUUUCUAAGAGGAUAGUAAAUCAAAGAUCCAGCAGACAAGAGAAAUUGGCUGUGGCAUCUGCAGACCAGGGGCUAAGGUAGGAUUGUCUGAGAAAGAGUGCAGAGCAGCAAGAAUGAGUAGAUAAGAUUUAAAAAUAUUAGCAGCCACCCACUGCAUAGCACAGUACAUUUUCCAGCAGUGUGUGCAUACUGGCUCUGCAGUGAGAUUGGGAGAAGGGGAUAUUACAAAGCAGGAAACCACGACCUGUAUGACCUCAAAGCCUAAACAGCCAAAACAAACCACUUGGGUAGCAGCAGUGGCAAGUGCCUGCCAAACAAAGAAACUGGCGAAAGGAGAUGACAAGGGGUCUAUUUUCAGCCAAAAUCCCCCACCGACCGCCCACGUGCUCUUUCUCCCUCACUCUCUCGCUCGCUCUCUCCUCCUCCUCCUCCCUGGUCUGUUCUGUUCUGCUUUUUUUGCACAAAAUUUCACCAUGAAGUGUCUGUCCAUCCUUACAGCUCUUUGUGUUGUGUUAUGAACUAGGCGGAAAACAAAGAGAGGUGAGGGGUAAUGGGACUCUGGGUCAGUUGGUGAGAGUGAAAUUUGGAACAAGGGGGGAGGUAUGGAGGCGGGGGAAUUCCUCUGGGAGCUGCAUUCCCUCGGCACAUCAGGCUAUAUCAGGAGCAACCAGAGGAGGGCCCAAACAGGAACUGAUAAGGGGGGGCAGUGAAAACAAAGAAAAGUUGACUUGGCCGAGACUCUCGGAUGGGGAGGAAAAUGAAGAAGUGGAACACGGGGAGCUACAGCUCUUGGGGAAAUUGAAGCAUAAACACCCACAGUGGGACGCUCAGUAAACAACCCCAGUCCCAACAGAGAGGGACAACAGCACAGUUUGACAAAUUUGUCUGGUGAAAACAGAUGAUGAGUGGAAAAAAAAUUACACUGACCAGACAUCUGAUUUACAUACUGCGAAUGUCUGAAUGAGCAGUUUAUAGCUGCUAUUACUGCCUUUGUUUGUGCACUGGGCCCUGCUCAAUAAAGCAUGAAAAUGCAAAGCUG